AACUAACGCUAUUAUUGAUACAGUUUCUGUACUUUAUUGGUAUGAGAAGCUUCCAGAAUUAUUCAAUUAAUUCGGAAAAUUUUGGAACGAACCUUCGGGU
rnacentral:misc_RNA from 1 species